rnacentral:ribozyme from 1 species
GCAUAUUUAUUUUACCGAAAGAGAAAGAAACACUUGAAGAAAAAGAAAAAAAUGAAAGAAACGAUAACUUUUU